rnacentral:sRNA from 1 species
CUUAUACGGGGCACCCGUGUGGGGCCAGU